AUGUUGGCCGGGCGACGGUUGUCCCGGUUUAAGCGUGUAGGCUGGUUUUCCAGGCAAAUCCGGAAAAUCAAGGCUGAGGCGUGAUGACGAGGCACUACGGUGCUGAAGCAACAAAUGCCCUGCUUCCAGGAAAAGCCUCUAAGCAUCAGGUAACAUCAAAUCGUACCCCAAACCGACACAGGUGGUCAGGUAGAGAAUACCAAGGCGCUUGAGAGAACUCGGGUGAAGGAACUAGGCAAAAUGGUGCCGUAACUUCGGGAGAAGGCACGCUGACACGUAGGUGAAGUGAUUUACUCAUGGAGCUGAAGUCAGUCGAAGAUACCAGCUGGCUGCAACUGUUUAUUAAAAACACAGCACUGUGCAAACACGAAAGUGGACGUAUACGGUGUGACGCCUGCCCGGUGCCGGAAGGUUAAUUGAUGGGGUCAGCGCAAGCGAAGCUCCUGAUCGAAGCCCCGGUAAACGGCGGCCGUAACUAUAACGGUCCUAAGGUAGCGAAAUUCCUUGUCGGGUAAGUUCCGACCUGCACGAAUGGCGUAAUGAUGGCCAGGCUGUCUCCACCCGAGACUCAGUGAAAUUGAACUCGCUGUGAAGAUGCAGUGUACCCGCGGCAAGACGGAAAGACCCCGUGAACCUUUACUAUAGCUUGACACUGAACAUUGAGCCUUGAUGUGUAGGAUAGGUGGGAGGCUUUGAAGCGUGGACGCCAGUCUGCGUGGAGCCGGCCUUGAAAUACCACCCUUUAAUGUUUGAUGUUCUAACGUGGACCCGUGAUCCGGGUUGCGGACAGUGUCUGGUGGGUAGUUUGACUGGGGCGGUCUCCUCCUAAAGAGUAACGGAGGAGCACGAAGGUUGGCUAAUCCUGGUCGGACAUCAGGAGGUUAGUGCAAUGGCAUAAGCCAGCUUGACUGCGAGCGUGACGGCGCGAGCAGGUGCGAAAGCAGGUCAUAGUGAUCCGGUGGUUCUGAAUGGAAGGGCCAUCGCUCAACGGAUAAAAGGUACUCCGGGGAUAACAGGCUGAUACCGCCCAAGAGUUCAUAUCGACGGCGGUGUUUGGCACCUCGAUGUCGGCUCAUCACAUCCUGGGGCUGAAGUAGGUCCCAAGGGUAUGGCUGUUCGCCAUUUAAAGUGGUACGCGAGCUGGGUUUAGAACGUCGUGAGACAGUUCGGUCCCUAUCUGCCGUGGGCGCUGGAGAACUGAGGGGGGCUGCUCCUAGUACGAGAGGACCGGAGUGGACGCAUCACUGGUGUUCGGGUUGUCAUGCCAAUGGCACUGCCCGGUAGCUAAAUGCGGAAGAGAUAAGUGCUGAAAGCAUCUAAGCACGAAACUUGCCCCGA
rnacentral:rRNA from 1 species